rnacentral:rRNA from 1 species
UACGUAGGGUCCGAGCGUUGUCCGGAAUUACUGGGCGUAAAGCGCGCGCAGGCGGCCCGCGAGGUGUCACGUGAAAGCCCCGGGCUCAACCCGGGAGGGUCGUGGGAAACCGGCGGGCUUGAGGCCGGUAGAGGUGGGUGGAACUCCUGGUGGAGUGGUGAAAUGCGUAGAGAUCAGGAAGAACACCCGUGGCGAAGGCGGCUCACUGGGCCGGUACUGACGCUGAGGCGCGAAGGCGUGGGGAGCGAACGGG